AUCACCAUAAAAGUUUUAUCCAAACCAAACUAGGGAGAUGGAUAAAAGAUAAGUAUAAAAUAUUGGAUGGACAUAUUAAGUUUUCGACCUCCUCGUUCUUUAAUAUAUUCUUCAUCCUGUGUAAAGUCAUUUACUUCAAUAUUAGGUCAUGUGAUAUAUAUAUCACACAUUGUUGUCACCGAGUUGAAAUGUGUGUUGUCAUUUUUAAAACUAAAGCUUAUAUUAUAAAA
rnacentral:lncRNA from 1 species